GAGCGGACCGAGGAAGUUGACUCUGAUGGUCAGCGGCGGACCGGUGAGUACUCGUGGGUAACCUGCCUGACCGAUCGGGAUAUCGCUUGGAAACGAGUGCUAAUACCGGAUAGGCUCUUGCUUCGCAUGAAUCGAGAGGGAACGAUGCUUUUGCCUCACUGUCAGAUGGACCCGCGGCGCAUUAGCUAGUUGGUGAGGUAACGGCUCACCACUGCGACGAUGCUUAUCCGACCUGAUAGGGUGACCGGCCACUCUGGGACUGAGAUACUGUCCCGACUCCUACGGGAUGCAUUAGUAGGGAAUCUUCCGCAAUGGGCGCAAGCCUGAUUGAGCAACUCCGUGUGAGUGAUGAAUGCCUUCGGGUUGUAAAACUCUGUCUUCUGUGACGAUCAAUUGCUANAAUGGAAUGCUCUCAACCUGACUGUAUCAGAGGAGGAAGCCCCGGCUAACUACGUGCCAUCAUCCGCGGUAAU
rnacentral:rRNA from 1 species